AGGUGAUUAGCUCAGAUUUGGUAGAGUGUCUCUUUUACAAGGAGAAGGUCAACGGUUCAAAUCCGUUAUCACCUA
rnacentral:tRNA from 2 species